AGAGUUUGAUCCUGGCUCAGAUUGAACGCUGGCGGCAGGCCUAACACAUGCAAGUCGAGCGGAUGAAGGGAGCUUGCUUCUGGAUUCAGCGGCGGACGGGUGAGUAAUGCCUAGGAAUCUGCCUGGUAGUGGGGGACAACGUUCCGAAAGGAGCGCUAAUACCGCAUACGUCCUACGGGAGAAAGUGGGGGAUCUUCGGACCUCACGCUAUCAGAUGAGCCUAGGUCGGAUUAGCUAGUAGGUGGGGUAAUGGCUCACCUAGGCGACGAUCCGUAACUGGUCUGAGAGGAUGAUCAGUCACACUGGAACUGAGACACGGUCCAGACUCCUACGGGAGGCAGCA
rnacentral:rRNA from 1 species